rnacentral:rRNA from 1 species
UACAGAGGGUGCGAGCGUUGUCCGGAAUCACUGGGCGUAAAGGGCGCGUAGGUGGUGGCUUAAGCGUGCGGUGAAAGCUCGGGGCUCAACUCCGAGUCGGCCGUGCGAACUGGGCUCACUGGAGCAUAGUAGAGGCAGGUGGAAUUCCGGGUGUAGCGGUGGAAUGCGUAGAGAUCCGGAAGAACACCAAUGCGAAGGCAGUGUCCUGGGAAGUACCUGACGCUCAGGUGCGAAAGCUAAGGGGAGCGAACAGGA